rnacentral:rRNA from 1 species
GCAUCUCCUGGGGGUGGAAAGAAUUUCGGUMAAGGAUGGACUCGCGGCCUAUCAGGUAGUUGGUGAGGUAAAGGCUCACCAAGCCGACGACGGGUAGCCGGCCUGAGAGGGUGACCGGCCACACUGGGACUGAGACACGGCCCAKACUCCUACGGGAGGCAGCAGUGGGGAAUAUUGCACAAUGGGCGAAAGCCUGAUGCAGCAACGCCGCGUGAGGGACGAAGGCCUUCGGGUUGUAAACCUCUUUUAGUAGGGAAGAAGCGAAAGUGACGGUACCUGCAGAAAAAGCACCGGCUAACUACGUGCCAGCAGCCGCGGUAAUACGUAGGGUGCAAGCGUUGUCCGGAAUUAUUGGGCGUAAAGAGCUCGUAGGCGGUUUGUCGCGUCUGCUGUGAAAACUGGAGGCUCAACCUCCAGCCUGCAGUGGGUACGGGCAGACUAGAGUGCGGUAGGGGAGAUUGGAAUUCCUGGUGUAGCGGUGGAAUGCGCAGAUAUCAGGAGGAACACCGAUGGCGAAGGCAGAUCUCUGGGCCGCUACUGACGCUGAGGAGCGAAAGCAUGGGGAGCGAACAGGAUUAGAUACCCUGGUAGUCCAUGCCGUAAACGUUGGGAACUAGAUGUGGGGACCAUUCCACGGUCUCCGUGUCGCAGCUAACGCAUUAAGUUCCCCGCCUGGGGAGUACGGCCGCAAGGCUAAAACUCAAAGGAAUUGACGGGGGCCCGCACAAGCGGCGGAGCAUGCGGAUUAAUUCGAUGCAACGCGAAGAACCUUACCAAGGCUUGACAUAUACGAGAACGCUGCAGAAAUGUAGAACUCUUUGGACACUCGUAAACAGGUGGUGCAUGGUUGUCGUCAGCUCGUGUCGUGAGAUGUUGGGUUAAGUCCCGCAACGAGCGCAACCCUCGUCCUAUGUUGCCAGCACGUAAUGGUGGGAACUCAUGGGAUACUGCCGGGGUCAACUCGGAGGAAGGUGGGGAUGACGUCAAAUCAUCAUGCCCCUUAUGUCUUGGGCUUCACGCAUGCUACAAUGGCCGGUACAAUGGGCUGCAAUACCGUAAGGUGGAGCGAAUCCCAAAAAGCCGGUCUCAGUUCGGAUUGAGGUCUGCAACUCGACCUCAUGAAGUCGGAGUCGCUAGUAAUCGCAGAUCAGCAACGCUGCGGUGAAUACGUUCCCGGGCCUUGUACACACCGCCCGUCAAGUCAUGAAAGUCGGUAACACCCAACGCCGGUGGCCUAACC